rnacentral:rRNA from 1 species
AGAGUUUGAUCCUGGCUCAGGACGAACGCUGGCGGCGUGCUUAACACAUGCAAGUCGAACGGAAAGGGCCCCUCUGGGGGUACUCGAGUGGCGAACGGGUGAGUAACACGUGAGUAACCUGCCCUUGACUUCGGGAUAACUUCAGGAAACUGGGGCUAAUACCGGAUAGGAAUCCUUGCUGCAUGGUGGGGGUUGGAAAGCUUCGGCGGUUUUGGAUGGACUCGCGGCUUAUCAGCUUGUUGGUGGGGUAGUGGCUUACCAAGGCUUUGACGGGUAGCCGGCCUGAGAGGGCGACCGGCCACAUUGGGACUGAGAUACGGCCCAGACUCCUACGGGAGGCAGCAGUGGGGAAUAUUGCACAAUGGGCGGAAGCCUGAUGCAGCAACGCCGCGUGCGGGAUGACGGCCUUCGGGUUGUAAACCGCUUUCAGCAGGGGCGAAGCUUUUGUGACGGUACCUGCAGAAGAAGCACCGGCUAACUACGUGCCAGCAGCCGCGGUGAUACGUAGGGUGCGAGCGUUGUCCGGAUUUAUUGGGCGUAAAGAGCUCGUAGGUGGUUGAUUGCGUCGGAAGUGAAAACUUGGGGCUUAACCCUGAGCGUGCUUUCGAUACGGGUUGACUUGAGGAAGGUAGGGGAGAAUGGAAUUCCUGGUGGAGCGGUGGAAUGCGCAGAUAUCAGGAGGAACACCAGUGGCGAAGGCGGUUCUCUGGACCUUUCCUGACGCUGAGGAGCGAAAGCGUGGGGAGCGAACAGGCUUAGAUACCCUGGUAGUCCACGCUGUAAACGGUGGGUACUAGGUGUGGGGUCCAUUCCACGGAUUCCGUGCCGUAGCUAACGCAUUAAGUACCCCGCCUGGGGAGUACGGCCGCAAGGCUAAAACUUAAAGGAAUUGACGG